UACAGAGGAGCCAAGCGUUGUCCGGAUUGACUGGGCGUAAAGCGCACGCAGGCGGUCUGGCGCGUGGGGUGUGAAAUCUGGCCGCUUAACGGCCAGGCGCCAUCCCAUACGGCCGGACUGGAGCCUUGCAGAGGUCGGUGGAAUUGCCGGUGUAGUGGUGAAAUGCGUAGAGAUCGGCAGGAACACCCAGUGGGAAACCAGCCGACUGGGCAAGUGCUGACGCUGAGGUGCGAGAGCGUGGGGAGCGAACCGG
rnacentral:rRNA from 1 species